UUUUUUAAAGGGACACUCUAAGCCUCAAAAGAACGUUAACGUAAUGAAAACGUUUUAGUGCAUAGAUCAGUCCCUUCCAUCUCAUUGCUCAAUUCUCUGCCAUUUUGUUUCUGUUUACGCAGCCUCACCUUCUCUGGCUGUGACUCACACAGCCUCCAAAUUUCUUUCAUUUCAAUCAGAUCUUACAGCACAAUGUGUUUACUUUAGAAGUUAGCAUCUCCUGCUGUGUAAAUUGAACUUUAAUCACACAUGGGAGGCUGUUGCUGGCUUUACCAGACCCGGAGACAAGAAAUUAAAAGUGAAACAGACACUACAAUAAAGUAAAUUUAAAAAUUGGAUCUCUCUUUUCAGGAAGUAUUUAGGAGGCCUGUGUAAGUCACAGCCAGGAAGUUGUGGCUGAAGUUACAUAAACAAAGUGAUUUAUUUCCUAAAUGGCAGAGAACUAAGCAGAGAGACUGAAUGGACACUAUCCACGCACCAAAGCCACUCCAUUAAGCUAAAGUUGUUUCGGUGCUUAGAGUUUCCCAUUUUUAAGGAUUUGGAAUGGUUUCUAAAUUAUACAUUUCAGUCUGACUUUUUCUAAAUUGGAUGAUGAGUAGCUGCUCCUAUUUUUAUUAUCUAAGAAAAAUGUGAUAUCCUGAGAAGUUGGCAUAAGUGUAGGAGAGAAAAAAAGAAGGUAAAGUGAAAGAGGCACAAAUUGGAUACAGUAUGUAUAGAAUAUAUGUGAGUUGUGGAAAUGGUUACGUUUGUUAGGGUGUUCCAAGUCACUACAUCGUUGUUAAAAAGGUCAGAAUGGCAAAAAUCUUGUAAACUGUCACAAAGCCUUUGACAUCUGUCCCAGAUUAUGUCAUCUCAAUGAAGUGGUCUAGGUGCACUGCCCUGUCAUUUUCACCCUGCAAUUUAAAACAUUUGUUGUUUUGUAGGAACCACAAUGUUUUCAUUGCAGGUUUAAGUGUGGCAUUCUUUACAACCAUUACAGGUGCUUCCCUUGUGAGAACAGAGUCAGACUUUGUUCUUCAAUCAAAUGCUGCUCACAGAGAGCCCACAGUGAGCAUUUGAUUGGACGAGCGCAGCGUUUUGCCACGCAUGUGUAUCUUGUUCCCAGUACUUCUUUAUGAGAAGCAUUGGAUUAAACGAGAACACGGAAAACGUCAGCAGGCUUGCUGACAGAGACAGAGCGGGCUCCUGGAAAUGACGCAAGUAAACUUAUCAUUAUUAUUAUUUAUUUUUUUAAAUAGUACAUUCAGAACUACAGGUUCCCUUUACAUAAAACAAGAAUAACGGGUUAAAGAAUUUCUAAUGGAUUCUGUUGAAUUUCUAUUCUAUUUCUCUGUGUUUAAUUACACACAUACUUCACUAACUUUCACCAACACUGUCUCAUUUUAUACAUUA